rnacentral:rRNA from 1 species
AACGAACGCUGGCGGCAGGCUUAACACAUGCAAGUCGAACGGGCGUAGCAAUACGUCAGUGGCAGACGGGUGAGUAACACGUGGGAACCUUCCUAGGGGUACGGAACAACUCAGGGAAACUUGAGCUAAUACCGUAUACGUCCGAGAGGAGAAAGAUUUAUCGCCCUUAGACGGGCCCGCGUCGGAUUAGGUAGUUGGUGGGGUAACGGCCUACCAAGCCGACGAUCCGUAGCUGAUCUGAGAGGAUGAUCAGCCACACUGGGACUGAGACACGGCCCAGACUCCUACGGGAGGCAGCAGUGGGGAAUCUUGGACAAUGGGCGCAAGCCUGAUCCAGCCAUGCCGCGUGAGUGAAGAAGGCCUUAGGGUUGUAAAGCUCUUUUGGCAGGGACGAUAAUGACGGUACCUGCAGAAUAAGCCCCGGCAAACUUCGUGCCAGCCGCCGCGGUAAGAC